rnacentral:rRNA from 1 species
AUUGAACGCUGGCGGCAGGCCUAACACAUGCAAGUCGAGCGAGCGGCGGACGGGCGAGUAAUGUCUGGGAAACUGCCUGAUGGAGGUGGAUAAGUACUGGAAACGGUAGAUAAUACCGCAUUCCAUCAGAUGUGCCCAGAUGGGCUUAGCUAGGAGGUGGGGUAACGGCUCACCGAGGCGACGAUCCCUAGCUGGUCUGAGCGGGGGACCAGCCACACUGGAACUGAGACACGGUCCAGACUCCUACGGGAGGCAGCAGUGGGGAAUAGGGCACAAUGGGCGCAAGCCUGAUGCAGCCAUGCCGCGUGUAUAAAGAAGGCCUUCGGGUUGUAAAGUACUUUCAGCGGGGAGGCUUUACCCGCAGAAGAAGCACCGGCGAACUCCGUGCCAGCAGCCGCGGUAAUAC